GGGUGAGUAACACGUAAGCAACCUACCCUAAAGACGAGGAUAACCAUUGGAAACAGUGGCUAAGACUGGAUAGGAAGAUAAAAGGCAUCUUUUAUCUUUUAAAAGACCUAGUAAUAGGUAUGCUUUAGGAGGGGCUUGCGCCAUAUUAGUUAGUUGGUAGGGUAAUGGCCUACCAAGACGAUGAUGUGUAGCUGGACUGAGAGGUUGAACAGCCACAUUGGGACUGAGACACGGCCCAAACUCCUACGGGAGGCAGCAGUAGGGAAUUUUCGGCAAUGGAGGAAACUCUGACCGAGCAACGCCGCGUGAAUGACGAAGUACUUCGGUAUGUAAAGUUCUUUUAUCAAGGAAGAAAAGCAAAUGGCGAACCAUUUGUUUGCCGGUACUUGAUGAAUAAGCCCCGGCUAAUUAUGUGCCAGCAGCCGCGGUAAGACAUAAGGGGCAAGUGUUAUCCGGAAUUAUUGGGCGUAAAGGGUGCGUAGGCGGUCUAGUAAGUCAGUGGUGUAAUGGCAACGCUUAACGUUGUCCGGCUAUUGAAACUGCUAAACUUGAGUUAGAUAGAGGCGAGUGGAAUUCCAUGUGUAGCGGUAAAAUGCGUAAAUAUAUGGAGGAACACCAGAGGCGUAGGCGGCUCGUUGGGUUUUAAGUGACGUUGAGGCACGAAAGCGUGGGGAGCAAUCAGGACAAGAUACCCUGGUAGUCCACGCCGUAAACGAUGAGUACUAAGUGUUCGGGUUAAACCGGUACUGAAGUUAACACAUUAAGUACUCCGCCUGAGUAGUAAUUAC
rnacentral:rRNA from 1 species